rnacentral:rRNA from 1 species
UACGUAGGUGGCAAGCGUUGUCCGGAUUUAUUGGGGUUUAAAGGGUGCGUAGGCGGUCCAUUAAGUCAGUUGUGAAAUACGGCAGCUUAACUGUCGAGGUGCAAUUGAUACUGGAGGACUUGAGUACAGACGAGGUAGGCGGAAUUGACGGUGUAGCGGUGAAAUGCAUAGAUAUCGUCAAGAACACCGAUAGCGAAGGCAGCUUACUAGACUGUAACUGACGCUGAGGCACGAAAGUGUGGGGAUCAAACAGG